rnacentral:rRNA from 1 species
AGUGAACGCUGGCGGUAGGCCUAACACAUGCAAGUCGAACGGCAGCACAGUAAGAGCUUGCUCUUACGGGUGGCGAGUGGCGGACGGGUGAGGAAUACAUCGGAAUCUACUUUUUCUUGGGGGAUAACGUAGGGACACUUACGCUAAUACCGCAUACGACCUACGGGUGAAAGCAGGGGAUCUUCGGACCUUGCGCGAUUGAAUGAGCCGAUGUCGGAUUAGCUAGUUGGCGGGGUAAAGGCCCACCAAGGCGACGAUCCGUAGCUGGUCUGAGAGGAUGAUCAGCCACACUGGAACUGAGACACGGUCCAGACUCCUACGGGAGGCAGCAGUGGGGAAUAUUGGACAAUGGGCGCAAGCCUGAUCCAGCCAUACCGCGUGGGUGAAGAAGGUCUUCGGGUUGUAAAGCCCUUUUGUUGGGAAAGAAAAGCAGCAGGUUAAUACCCCGCUGUUCUGACGGUACCAAAAGAAUAAGCACCGGCUAACUUCGUG